rnacentral:lncRNA from 1 species
CAGACGCAAAAAACACACCAGGUUGACUCCACGGAGGGUGGCCUCCUGGUACGAUUCCCCUUUUCUGUAGUUCAAUCCAAGAAAAAAUGGUCUUCUGGUGGAUGAAUAUUUGCCUGGUAACGUGGCGUAAUCGCCGGUGCAAGCUCCAAUCAGUUUAAAAAGUACUGACGAGCGACGGCUGGCCGCGUGCCUGCUCGUGGUAUAGCUCAGCGACUCAGUUUGUGCCUCGGUUCGUGGCUCGGUGUUUUCCAUCGUAGGCAAUAAUUUGAUGACAGCCCAGGACUGAUACGCGUUGGCAUCGGUGUACACGUUGUAUAGACCGAGACGGAAAACUGUAGCGAGACACGAUCUCAGUCACGGUACUUUUCCUGCACGGCGGCGGCGGAACAAGCUGCAACCCGAAAUUUCUCCUUCAUCUCAAUC